rnacentral:rRNA from 1 species
ACGAACGCUGGCGGCGUGCUUAACACAUGCCAGUCGAACGGGUCUGCCCUGUUUUUUGCGGGGUGGGUCAGUGGCGAACGGGUGAGUAACACGUGAGUAACCUGCCCCUCACUUCUGGAUAACCGCUUGAAAGGGUGGCUAAUACGGGGUGUUCUGGCUGUGCCGCAUGGUGUGGCUGGGAAAGAUUCACUUUUGUGGUGUUUUGGUGGGGGAUGGGCUCGCGGCCUAUCAGCUUGUUGGUGGGGUGAUGGCCUGCCAAGGCUUUGACGGGUAGCCGGCCUGGGAGGGUGGGCGGUCACACUGGGACUGAGAUACGGCCCAGACUCCUGCGGGAGGCAGCAGUGGGGGGUAUUGCACAAUGGGCGGAAGCCUGAUGCAGCGACGUCGCGUGAGGGAUGGAGGCCUUCGGGUUGUGAACCUCUUUCGCCGGUGAAGAAGGUCCUGCUCUUUGUGGUGGGGUUGACGGUAGCCGGGUUAUGAAGCGCCGGCUAACUACGUG